GUAGUUAGUUUAACUAAAACAAAUGAUUUCGACUCAUUAAAUUAUGAUAAAUACAUCAUAACUACCAA
rnacentral:tRNA from 1 species